GACGAACGCUGGCGGCGUGCUUAACACAUGCAAGUCGAACGGAAAGGCCCUGCUUUUGUGGGGUGCUCGAGUGGCGAACGGGUGAGUAACACGUGAGUAACCUGCCCUUGACUUUGGGAUAACUUCAGGAAACUGGGGCUAAUACCGGAUAGGAGCUCCUGCUGCAUGGUGGGGGUUGGAAAGUUUCGGCGGUUGGGGAUGGACUCGCGGCUUAUCAGCUUGUUGGUGGGGUAGUGGCUUACCAAGGCUUUGACGGGUAGCCGGCCUGAGAGGGUGACCGGCGACAUUGGGACUGCGAUACGGCGCAGACUCCUACGGGAGGCAGCAGUGGGGAAUAUUGCACAAUGGGCGGAAGCCUGAUGCAGCAACGCCGCGUGCGGGAUGACGGCCUUCGGGUUGUAAACCGCCUUCGCCUGUGACGAAGCGUGAGUGACGGUAAUGGGUAAAGAAGCACCGGCUAACUACGUG
rnacentral:rRNA from 1 species